CUCCCUCACGUGGAUUCGAUCUUACAGCUGAAGAUCUACAGACCUUACAGCACAGAGGCUUCUGCGCUUUAACCCGCAGCGCCACCACAUUCCCUACAAGUGUUCAUCCAUGUACAAAUAAAGAUGCCAUCAGCAGGAAGAAAUGAAUGCUAAUUUAUGCAUGCUCCACAGUUCCCUUGGCCUGAAGUAAGAUGAUGGGAAGCUUGUACUGUCCUGGCAACAGGUGAUGACACAGAUAAAACUUGAUAUAAAUACAAGCAUUUCCUCCUCUGAAACAUCUGCAGGCCAAUGGCAAGAGUGACAAUUAUACCAGAGAGCUCUUGACUCUGCUGUUUAUUAAUGAUGUGCAUUUGGAAAGGAUGGCAGUAAGUCAAGGGAUAGCUUCCAUGCAGGAAAUUCGCACAAUUCUAGAAUCUGGUAGUAAUCCCCAUUGAAUCCAAUUUAGCUCUGCUUUAUUGUUGGAGGUGGGGACCAGCAGAAAUCUCCACAGCUGUGUUAAUAUGUACAAAAAUGAACAGUGGGGGGAUAUUCAAGAAGUAGUACUGUUCGUUAUUAAUACUAGUUUCACGAUUUUUCACUCUGCUGAUCUUCUCACUCAGGACUACAGUAAGGAAAAUGUAGGUAUUUGUUUCAUACUUCAGGAACUGAGGCUCAAAGAAAGAAGGAAAGGACGAAUGAACAGAAAAAUGCUUAGGGCAUGUCAAGAUCUCAUACUGUAUAAGAUUUCAAGCAUCUUGGAACUAUUGUCUAAAAGGCUGGCUUACCAUGGUGAUGAGUGGCAGCAUGAAAUUUCUUUUGCCCAAGCAGAGAAAUGGAAAGGGACACAUUUUGCUAAAGUAUUUUCAAAGAAUUUACACAUACUAGUUUUUCCUACUAAAUUCUGCAGCUACUGUGUGAUGAGAAGUAUUUGGAAGUGUAUUCUGAAGAUAUUCUUUGCAUCAUUAGCACUAUCUGGGCAUUAAUGAAUCUAGCUUCCUCUGCACGCUUACAGGUGAGCUCCUAGCCCUUCCCUUCCCUUUAUGCUUUCCUCAUAAAAUGUUAGAAAAAUCUGAAGGGAAAUUCCUGCUCACCUGUAGGCUCUACUUGUGAGCAAGAAGUUGGAUCAGUCAUAGGAACUUUUCCUCUUCUAAUUAUUCCGUCAUCACCAAGAUGACACAGGAGGCUGGGCUAGGAGCUCCCUUCUAAAUACACUGAGAAAAUUAGAUUCAUCAACACUACUCUACAUAUCGUGCCACCCAAAAAAAUUUAAGCUGCCCACUGAACGUUUUGUGUUGACAUUGGAGAAAUACUAUAUCUUUCAAUGUGGAGUGUCUUCCAGCCAUUAGUUGAAGGGGUUUAUGUAUUCAUACCUCUUGAACUAUUUUCAGUUCAUUCUGUAUUCACUGUACCUGCAUAUUGUCUUUGUAUAUUGCUUGUUCAUCUUUUUGUGGUGGAGAGCUGCUUUUGUUCUGAACCUAGACUGAAAUUGCAGCCCUAUUGCAAAACAACCACAACUGCUUUUGCAUCACCUAGCUUUGUUUAGAAAGCAUUAUGUUGUCUUGUCUCCUGCAUCUAAUGUACAUAUACGUAGUUUCCUUUUAACAACACAGGUUGACUUGUGCCAGUUUUGCAAAACUUACAUGGACCUUUUUCAGUUCCUUAUUAAAUCAUCAGUACUUAAGCCGUAUUGGAAAAUGGAGAUCUUGGGAGAAAGCAGCA
ensembl:lncRNA